rnacentral:tRNA from 1 species
GCAUUGGUAGCUCAAUGGUAGAAUUCUUGCCUUCUGCCCAGGAGAUCUGUGUUGGAUUCCUGGCCAAUGCA